rnacentral:misc_RNA from 1 species
AAGUCGUAACAAGGUCUCCGUUGGUGAACCAGCGGAGGGAUCAUUACGAGAGUGUCACCACUCCCAACCCAUUGUUUACCUACCCGUCCACCGUGCUUCGGCAGGCAGCCCUGUGGGACAGGGCCUCGCCUCCCCUCCGGGGGGGUGCCUGCCGCUGGCCAACCAAAAAUUCAGCUGUUUUUGUACCAUCUGAGUCUUCCACAAAUAAACAAAACUUUCAACAACGGAUCUCUUGGUUCUG